UGUGUGAGUGUGUGUGGGCGUGGAAGUCACCUGAUAACAACUACCACUGACGGGGCUCUGGAGGCUGUGGCCUCACAGCCUCUAGAGCCCCAUAAAACACCCAAAAAGAAGAAGUCGUGUGCAAUGGGCGUGUCUUGAGAGGCGAGGCGGAGGAAAGUGUAGUCUGGCAUGUCUUGCUGACGGUCUUGGGGACAGUCCAGCGGUGAAGCGAGUGCGUCCCGAUGCAGCGUGGUGGCAGCCUCCUGCUGUGCGCCGGGCUGUAAGAGCAGGAACACUGUGGACUGCAAGCUCACCCUCCACAUGUGUCAGGCUCCUGCACAGGUGAACGGAGGUGGAGUCACGGCUUUGGGGCGGCUUGCUAAAAAGGUCAGACGAGUCGCAACGGGCGCAGGUCACAACAGGUCACCACAUGCAGGUCGGAGGUCACACAGCCAGCGUCCAUAACCUGACCCCUAAGAGUGGAUACCAGCUGUCUGGAGUGGAUACAGAAGUGGAUUCCUUACAGCAUCGGAACUCCCGUAAGAGGAAGCGUAGGAAGCACAGCUGUGGAGGAGGAGGAGGAG